rnacentral:misc_RNA from 1 species
CUGAGUGGCUGUAUUCGCGAUUCUCUUCGGAGAGGCGAAGCUACCCGACCUGAUGUCAUUCUAUCCGAGGGCGCGUCCGCAUGAGACAGCGGUUCGACGUUGGAGGUACCCGGACGAGGCGCUUGUCUCGAAGGGGGAAGCUCCGGGUCGGGCCGUGACGCGCCUCUCGGCACAACUUUCCGCGGAAGUGGUAGGCGUUGACCUGCCCGCCGCGGGCCGUAUUUUCUACAAGUCUUGAAGAAACCUGAAGUCUGAAGAUCAAAACAAAUGAAAAGCA